GCUCCAAUAGCGUAUAUUAAAGUUGUUUGCAGUUAAAACGCUCGUAGUCUGAGAUGGGUGGGGCGGGGGUGGUGGGCGACGAAAAGUUGCGUGCAGCUGCUGCUCCAUUUUUGUGUAGAAUAUGCACGAGUUACUUUGAGGAAAUUAGGGUGUUCAAAGCAGGCGUUUGCUUGGAUACUGCAGCAUGGAAUAACGGAAUA
rnacentral:rRNA from 1 species